rnacentral:lncRNA from 1 species
GAUGGACAUGUAAAUUUAAAGGAGCCUAGUGUUAGUGUAUGCUGUACACCCAAAUCCUGUUCUCAAAAGAGAAGCUGAUUGAACCCUAGUUCUGGCUUAUGCAAGAAGGGAGAAACUCACAUUUUCACAAAUUGCAAGGCGCUAGCAACAUCCCUAUGUAAUACAUACACAUCUCCAUCUUACAGGCCACCUUCCCUCCACAACAUCUUCUCGGCUUGGAUCACUCUGCAAUUUCCUGCUCUUUCCUCAGCUCCAUUUGCCAUGGCAAUGGGUUAAAAACAGAAAACCAACAGCCACAGCCUGCAUUCCUCGUUAAAGACAAGAUAAAUACAACUCGCUGUCC